ACGCCUCCCAGGUCACAAUAGGCCCAUUGGUCAACUUUCUUCCUGCCUGUACUCUCUAGAAGUCUCCAUAUCUCUUCCGUGAGAAGAUAAACAUAUCCCUUUCUCUGCUCUAUCGUUAUAGUCCCUCAAGCUGGCUGUACCAAAUCGAAUGGCAUGCUCCUACAUCACCAAAGCUGCGAAGGAGAUGCUCUUGGAGGUCAAGUCUGGCGGAAACGGGGAUGCGCGUUCGAGCCGCAGAUCUUGCGUCGCCUACCAGCAAGGCCGCAUUUCACUAUUUCUGCUUUGUAGAGACAGAUCGGUCGCUGGGUAGGCCACCGGAGAUUAUGAGGGGUGUUGCUAGCUGCUAGGUUCUCCGAGAGUGUUCUGCUCUCCUGUUCGUGGCUCUGGGACAGAGAGCUGUGUCGUUGGGUUGAACGACCAUCUUCUCCGUAGCAUUCCACGUCUGAGGCGGAGCAGUAAGGACAGGUAUGAAUCUCUCCCCACUCUCCCAUUAUUCUCUUCAUUCUUCUCUUGCUUGGCACAAUAUAUGUACUUUGUAAGUUGAUUUACUUUGUUGAUCUGUUAAAUAAAUUCAGAGGGAAGGUUGAUUUACCUGUUCUGUUAAAUUAUAAUUUGGGAGAUGACCUCAUACUUUCUUUUGUUGUUCAUCUAACAGUCAUUAAUGGGGUAUACAUUAUAGACAUAUUUGGCUUGACAUUAUUUUUUAGUUUACAUUCUACCCAACUUUGAUUAUUGCCUCUUCAACAUAUCUGUAGCCAUUAUAUGGAGCUUCAUACAACAAAGCGUAUGCCCAUUGUAUCCAUCUACUAUGUAUAACCCCGAUGUAUAUUUUUUAUAUAGUGAUUGGUCUCUUUUCAUUUAAAGAGUCUGUAGGCAAAGGCGGGUUUUGGGCUUCCUCAUUGUUGGUGCCAUCGCCUUACACCCAUUAAUUUGCUACAACUUUGCAUCAUUUCUACUUCGUCGAGAGUGGCUUAUUCUUGACAUGUAAGUUUCCCCAUUCUAGGUGGUUUAAUAGUAUUCUUUUUUGUUGCUAACAUAUAUUAGCAAGUUAUAUUUACCUAUAUGUGUAUUUAGGACAAAGCAAGAAGGAUUAAAUGUAUUAACUGAAAUUUGGUUCAUAUAUCUUAAUCGAUAUGCAAUGGAUUUUUUGCCUAUGCUAUAGGCGAUGCCUGUAAUAUUGUAGUUUUUCCUCGCGAUCAUGGUUUCCUUGAACUAAACCGGACAUAGGCUAGAAUAGUUCUUACCAAGAAUAUAAAAUUCACCAAAAGUGCAUGUCUAAAUGUAUUUAAAAUAAUUAUAAUGUAAUAUGUUUUUCAUAGUGCUAACAUUUGACUUUUGUUAUCCGGUAAGUGUCCUCCUUAUAUUGAUGGAUGUCAGGUAUUCUUACUAUUAUCUUAGUAAACAUAAAUAGUUUGCCUUACUUUCAACAUAAUUAUUGUAUAAUUUUGGUGCUUCCCACCCAAUGAGUUCUGCAAUUUCGAGACCGAUAUAUUAAGAAUUUUUUCGGUCUCCUCGUAAAAUCAAGUGCAGCUUAUAGUAGUUGUACAGUAAUUAAUUUGGCAUCUUUUCAUUGCAAAGUAAACAUAAUCGAGAAGUUGCUGUUCAAAUUAGCAGAAUAUAUGCUUACCGAGGCGUUACAAUUUUUGUAUAUAUAUACCACAACUCUUGUCAAUUUCCUUUGUACCUGCUUUGUGAGAUCACCACAUGACAUAUACCACCAUCUUCUUGUAACAGAUAUAUUGUAGGUAGCUGAAAGUUCGCAAUCCUGAAAAAACAACCUCAAAACUCAAAGUUAGCAAUCUGAAGAAGUUGAGAGACAUAAAUAAAUCAAAUAUGGUCCAUUCUACCUGAUAUGACUCCAUUAUCACUCCAGGUUUUGGAGUCUCGUUUUCCUCGGAAGUGGUCAUAUCAUAUCUUAGAAGUCUGAUACAGUAACUGAUUUGUCUGAUUUUGUGCCUCAUUAUAGUAAUUUCUUGUAAUGUUCUUUUGUAAAACAUAUUUUCUUCUAGUGUUCCUUUCGUAGUUCUAUCUAUCUUGAUCAUUUGUGUUCAGUUUCUUCUGCACACAUAUGGAGUUAGUCAAAUAUAGUAAUAUUGGUUAACAAACAGAGUCACUAUUCAUUAGUUGAUAACUAAUAACUGAUAAAAGAUAUAGUUCCAUACCUGCCAAGAAGUUCAUGGGCUUCGAUUAUAUCUAGACCUAUAUAAUCUUGUGGAAUUGGUAAUCAAUGGUAAAUGUCUUAGGUAUUUUCCCUGUAAAUAACAAAAUAUAUUGUAACAUUACUGGAUUGAACUUCUGCACCAUCAAGGUCACAAUAGGGACAGUUUAGCUGUCGAUUAAAUCCCCAUUCAAAAAUAAGGAAACUUUGUCCAUAACGUAACUCCUAUUUUUAUCACCCCUAAAGAGUUCUUCUUUUAUUAUUGAUUCCACAUGCUUCAUUUGGGUGAUUAAUCCAAUCACAAUAAAUUUGGAGAUUAAUUGCUUCAUAGUUAGAAAGAUUAAUUAGAUAAGAGUCUUAAUUCAAAUUACAGAGUAUAGAGUAUAGACAUACCUGAGCAUUAUAUUUGUGGAAUUGGCAAUCAAUGGUAAAUGUAUUAGGUAUUUUCCCUGUAAAUAACAAAAUAUAUUGUAACAUUACUGGAUUGAACUUCUGCACCAUCAAGGUCACAAUAGAGACAGUUUAGCUGCCGAUUGAAUCCCCAUUCAAAAAAUAAGGAAACUUUGUCCAUAACGUAACUCCUAUUUUUAUCACCCCUAAAGAGUUCUUCUUUUAUUAUUGUUUCCACAUGCUUGAUUUGGGUGAUUAAUCCAAUCACAAUAAAUUUGGGUAUUAAUUGCUUCACAGUUACAAAGAUUAAUUAGAUAAGAGUCUUAAUUCAAACUACAGAGUAUAGAGUAUAGAUAUACCUGAGUAUUGUUUAUUUUAUCUACAUGUUUUUGUACUUAAUCCAUACCAAUGAUUAUAAUUAUAAUUUAACCUCUACAGAUAGUAGCAUGGAUUUUUAAAUGUUGAUAGUAGCAUGAACUCGGUUGGGCCCUUUCAAAACAAUAAAAUAUAAUUAGGGAUUGUUGUCCAAAGCAAUAGAGAAAUCUGUAAUAUGUAAUGCAUUUUUUUGUCCAUCAAAAGUAUAUUGAGGCUAAUAAGCUCAUCAGCAAUUGUCGUUAAGUUAUUAAGCUUCUUGUAUGCCAUAUUUUUUUGGGUUUAAUAGGAGUUGAAAACAACUGAUAAAGUACCUAUGAAGAUUUUAUGCUGAUAAGUGAAUUUAGUAAGAGUAGUACUUACUAACCUUGAUGAUUCAGGUUAGAGAUAACUCAGAAGGUUGGGCCUGACUUUGUCGGCACUCGAGCUGAACCUGGCAUUGAAGUUCGGCUAAUUUUCUUGUUUGUCCAUCGUUGAAUCACUGGAUGUAUCACAUAAUCAGCAGACUUCGAUUUCGCUGGUGGCGCGUUGGUUCAUAGCAGAUUUGCCUGACUUUGAUUUUCCAAAAAAUAUUGAUCCUAAAUCUUGGGCUGCCUUGCGUGUGCUGGACAUGGCCGGUCGAGUGCCUUUAUAUUUGUCGUUGGCUUGGCGGAGUCAGUGUGGAGAUAUUUUUUCCAGAGGCGUCUGGGCUCUUCGCUGAUUAAUCUGUGUGGAGUUUUGCUUGCCUUAUUUGCACGCACCAGUUUGUGGUUGUGUCGGACACAUUGAUGGAGACGUGCUAGAUUUUUCUUUUUGAGGUUUGAAGACAUGCUAGAUGACAGACGUGUCAGGCAACUAUUUGUACCCAAUAAUAGUUAUAUGUAACUUUUGUAUAUUUUUAAAUCUCAGCCGUUGUUAUCAAAUAUUGACGGUGCACAUAAUUUGAUCUAUGUGGAUAAAUGUGACGGCUUCUUUUACUUCUGUUUUAAGUAUAUAAUAGAAGAUAGAUAGAUAAAUGCACCAAUCGUUUUAAGGAAAGGUCUACUAAGAAUAAUAGGACAUGUAGGAUUGCAAUCUAUAUCAAGAACAAUGAAAUCUACGGGCACAUAAUUCCAAUUUGCAAUAAUAAGAACAUUAUUAAUCCUUUCCAUAGGUUUCUUUAUAGUGGAAUCCGCAAGAUGCAAAUUUAAAGAACAAUCAUCAAAUUCAUAGAAAACUAACACAUCACAUAAAGUUUUCAGAAUCGUGAAAAAGCUAGCACCCAAAUCACACAAAGCAUGACACUCAUAAUCUUUAAUUUUAAUAUUAAUGGUAGGUUCCCACUCAUCAUAAAGCUUUCUAGGGAUAGAAACUUCUAACUCAUGUUUUCUUCAAAAGAUUUCAUCAUAGCAUCAACAAUAUGUUUAGUAAAAGCUUUAUUUUGAUUAUAAGGAUGAGGAGAAUUCAAUAUGGAUUGCAACAAGGAAAUACAAUCUAUCAAAGAACAAUUAUCAUAAUUAAAAUCCUUGAAAUCCAAAAGAG
rnacentral:lncRNA from 1 species